AUAAAAGGAGAGUAAAAAAAGAAAGAGAGUCAAGAAAGAGAGAGAAAGGAGACGUUCUCUCCUCUUUUUCUCCUUUUUCUCCUCGUCUUCCUCUUUCUCCUACU
rnacentral:ribozyme from 13 species